UCCUACACUGGUGUGCGAAGAAGCUUGC
rnacentral:piRNA from 1 species